rnacentral:rRNA from 1 species
AUCGAAUAGCCAACUCAGAACUAGUAUGGACAAGGGGAAUCCAAUUGUUUAAUUAAAACAAAGCAUUGCGAGGGUCCCAAUGGAUGUUCACGCAUUGUGGUUUCUGCCCAGUGCUCUGAAUGUAAAAGUGAAGAAAUUCAACCAAGUACGGGUAAACAGCGGGAGUAACUAUGACUAUCUUAAGGUAGCCAAAUGCCUCGUUAUCUAUUUAGUGAUACGCAUGAAUGGAUUAAUGAGAUUCCCACUAUCCUUGUCUACUAUCCAGAAAAACCAUAGCCAAGGGAACGGGCUUGGCUGAAUCAACGGGGAAAGAAGACCCUCUUGAGCUUGACUCUACUCUGACUUUGUCAAAUGUAUUGAGAGGCGUAGUAUAAGUGGGAGACGAAAGGCAAAAGUGAAAUACCACUACUUUUAACGUUAUUUUACUUAUUCCAUAAAUUUGAAGUGGCAUACUACCCCUCUUUUUGGACCCAAGGCUCGCUCUGCGGGCCGAUCCGAGUGAAAGACAUUGUUAGGUGGAGAGUUUGGCUGGGGCGGCACAUCUGUUAAAAGAUAAUGCAGGUGUCCUAAGAUGAGCUCAAUGAGAACAGAAGGGUAAAAGCUCGUUUAAUUCUAAUUUCCAAUACGAAUACAAACCAUGAAAGCGUGGCCUAAUGAUCCAUUAGACCUUUGAAAUUCGAAGGUAGAGGUGUUAGAAAAGUAUUAUCACAGGGAUAACUGGCCUGUUGUAGGCAAGCGUUCAUAGCGACGUUUCUUUUUCAUCCUUCGGUGUCGGCUCUUCCUAUUAUUGUGAAGCAGAAUCCACCAAGUGUUGUACUGUUCACCCACCAAUAGGGAACGUGAGCUGGGUUUAGACCAUCAUGAGACAGUUUAGUUUUACCCUACUUAUGACAGUGUCGCAGUAGUAAUUCAACCUAGUAGGAGAGGAAACGUUUAUUCACACAAUUUGUCAUCGUGCUUGGUUGAAAAGCCAGUGGUGCAAAGCUACCAUGUGCUGGAUUAUGUCUGAACGCCUCUAAGUCAGAAUCCGGGCUAGAAGCGACGCAUGCUCCCGCUGUCCAUUUGCUGACCCGCAGUAGGGGCCUCGACCCCCAAGGGCACAUGUCGUUUACUAAACCACCGUGGUGGAAGAGUCGCGGUGGCCGCCUUGAAGUAUAAUUUCCAUUAAGCGGUGGGUAGAAUCCUUUGUAGACGACUUAAAUAUGCGACGGGGUAUUGUAAGUGGAAGAGUGGCCUUGCUGCUAUGAUCAACUGAGAUUCAUCCGUUUGUCGCUCUGGUUCGU